ACAAAUGCGUUGAAAAAGACUAGUAUUCAGAUAAAUUUAAUACUCAGAGAGAAAGUAUUUUGCUGCGAUUACUUUUUAUUAAAUGUCUGAAGAAUGCACUUUUUAGCUCAUAGAAGGAACCUUUUUAGCAGUAUUUCUAUGCGGUUUUGUCACCGUUAUAUGACUUUUGAGCGAUAAAUUCGGAGUGGAACCGUGGCUUAAUUUUUAUUUUGCCGCCUCUGUU
rnacentral:ncRNA from 1 species